UCACCGAAUACUCAUGGUUCACUUGGUAGCAAUGAUCAGAAUUUCUUUUAUUCCAUUACAAUCUUAAUAAUAUCUGUAAUACUCAAGUCAUACAUCACACAAUGAUAGAUGGGUUUUAGAAAGUCUAAGAUAAAGCCAGACAUGGUGGCACACACCUGUAACCCCAGCGACUUGAAAGGCUGAGUCGGGAGGAUUGCAAAUUGGAGGCCAGCCUCGGAAAUUUAACGAAGACCCCUCUCAAAAUACAACAUUAAAAAGGUUGAAAUAUGGGCUGGGGAUAUAGCUCAGUUGAUAGAGCACUUGCCUCACAUGCACAGCACACCUGAAAAAAAAAAGGGUUGAAAUAUAGCUCUGUAGUAAAACACCCCUGGAUUCAGUCCCAGUUACCGUAGAUAGAUAAAUAAUGCCAAGUUUAUCUGGCUCCAGCAACUAGUUUCUUUUCACUACUGUCUCUUGUCCUCCUUUAUGAGCUUGACGAUGCUCCCAUUUUCAUCCAUCACUACUGUGACCCCAAAUUAUGUUUAUGGAGCAUCUUUGCAUAAUGGUUAAGCACACAAGCAUUUGGAGCUGCAGCAGUUUAGAUAUUCAAAUAUGUCUGGUGCUGCUGGAGGUCCUUGAGGAGGAAGGGAAUUUGCAUGGGGAGGGCUAGACCAAGUACCCAUUGUGAUCUCCUUUCACUUGGGUUAUGCAGACCUUUUCUGGGUUUUUUUCACAAACAAGAGAACAAGUCAGCAAACUGUUAUUACAGAAGGAAAAGGUCUUGGCAGGAUAUAUUGCCUUUCUUUUUUUCUGGAGAAGGCAGAACAGAGGAAGGAAUGAGGUAGAUGGAGCCACAUCUAUCCCUGGUAGAUUGACAUUAAAAACAGAAAGGAGAUUGGGCUGGGUGUGUAGCUCAUUGGUAGAGCUCACGUAUGAGACCCUGUCUUCAACCCCCAGCACCAAAGCAACACAAAACAACAGAAGAUUAGAAAUAAUAUCAUAGCAAAGCAUUUUGAGGAUUUAAAAUCCCUUACUAUUUGUGAGUGUUGUUUCUUUACCAAGCCAGUUAACUCUCACAUGCAUGCUAUAAUUAAUCUUUCUCCAAAUAUUUUAAAGUUGUGGGAGCAGGCAUUAAUUUGCCCAUUUUUCAGAUCAUUAGAUUGCAUACCCAGAUCUUCCAAGUUUCAUUGGCAACAGAAUUCUGGUUCUAAGGUAGAGGGUUCUGACAGAUUCUUUACUUGACCAAACUUUAGUCAGUUUACUAAAUCUUUUAGACCCACCUGUGUACUUCUUGUAAAAUUCUGUUUCAGCAAUAAACCCUGCUAAGUCAGUUUAGCUGAAAUCCGUCCCCUCAAUUCUCCAUAUCUUAUCUCCUAGAUACCUGAUUGAGUUCCUCAUCCUCUGCCAUGCCCUAGGUGAUGUCUGAUAUCCUGGCCUUUGUCCAUAAUUCUGUUAGGUUGCUUUAGCCAGAAUCCUUCUUCUUUUUUUUUUUUUCCUAUAUUUUAUCUUUUUUAGCUACACAUGACAUUACAAUGAUCUUGGCAAUUCAUACAUUUGAAUCAUUGGGGUAUAAUUUCUCAUUUUUCUAAUUGUACAGAUUGCAGAAUCACAAUGGUCAUAGAGUCACCUAUAUACAAACAUCUUUCUUACACCUGAUGUUUAUUCUUAGUAAUUUUCCAUCCAAUUAUCCCCGCCCUCUGAUCCUAUCAAUUCCCACUUGCCAAUGCUGUAUUUGGAGUAAGGCCCAAUCUCUGCCUUUUACUGCAAAAAUCCCAUUUCAGUGGUCCCUGUUGGUACCAGUCCCCAAAUUAGGUGUUCCUUGCUGUACUCUAACAAGGACUCAAUAAUUUUUUCUUUUAAUAUUUUAUUUUUUAGUUGUAGUUAGACACAAUACCUUUAUUUCACUUAUUAUUAUUUUUUUUUAAUGUGGUGCUGAGGAUGGAACCCAGGGUCUUGCAUGUGUGAGGUGAGCACUCUACCGCUGAGCCACAACCCCAGCCCAAUUUUUUUUUUUUAUAGUUGUCUAACUCUAGUUUUAUUCUCUUUUCAUUUUCUUUGGCAAAUGUCUUUGCAGCACUCCAGCAUACUGUAUCUGUGAACUUUUUCCAGGAAGAAGAUAGGGAAGUGUUCAGAGUUGCAAUAGACGGGAAGCUUGCCUGGCUGUGUUCUAAGAAAAAUCAAGUUUUGAUCACCCCCUACUGGGCAAGCCUGCUGAUGGCAACAAAAAUAAACGUGGAAGAAAUGAGCGAGGAAAACUGAGAAAAGAACCAUUUUAGAGAAAAACAUGACCAUGCUGGAAAAGGAGGAAGGGAGUCAGGGACAGCAUUGAACACGGGUAGUUAUUCCCCCUUUUGGAUUUCUGCUACAAAGGGCACAGGAAUCUGACUUCUUUUGUCAAGCUACAAUAAUCUCCCAAGACAACAGAGAAUGGAGCAAUGUUCAGCAAGUAAAGUGGGACUGUCCAGAUGUCAUUUAAGGGAGUUCAGGUCCCCAGGCACCACAUUUUAUGCUCCAGGAUUCAGAAGCAGCUUCUAAUCAUAAAACUCCUACCUCUAGGCGAGUUUUAGGACAAACACAUGUGAUUAUUUUUCAAACAUUUUAAAGGGCUAACAAGAACAACUAGAGGUUUUUUUGUUUUGUUUUGUUUUGGGAUACCAGGGAUUGAGCCCAGGGGCACUCAGCCACUGAGCCACAUCCCCAGACCUAUUUUGAAUUUUAUUUAGGGACAGGGUCUACACUGAAUUGCUUAGCACCUCACUGUUGCUGAGGCUGGCUUUGAACUCACAACUCUCCUGUCUCAGCCUCCCAAGCCACUGGGACCACCACACCCUGCACAACUGAGGUAUUUUGUGAUAAAAAGACUAGGAUCAGUGAGUUGCAAUUAUAUGGAAGCAUAUUUAUGCUUUCAUUUAAAGAACUUUAAGCAAUUAUCCAUCUCCAAAAGAAGGAAAUUAUCUUCUAGAAUUGUACCUGGCCACAGAAACAGAAGUCCAGGCCAGCAUAGAAGGGAUGGGGCAAAAAGAGCUUGGACUGUGGGUACUCACAAUGACAUUCAUUCAGUCUGCAUUUAUUAGGGCCUUCUCAUUCAUCAUUGCCCAUAUCAGUAAUUAUUUGUUUAGAUAUCUGCCAAGAAUUGUAUAUUUUUCAUUUUAAGUUUUUCCUGUCCUAUCACAAUGCCUGGCAUAUUAUAGGUUCUUAAUAAUUGUCGAAGGGGACAGAUGAGGCAGGACACUGAAGACAGUAGGAAGCAGUUUUAUUUGGGUGCAGCCAGGUUCAGAGGGUAAAGCUUUCACUGUAAUCAAUUAAUCCCCCUGAACCCAGAGUUCAGGCAGUUUCAGAACUUUAUACCCAGUGUGUAAAGGGUAGGGCUCAGAAGUUCACAGUCUGUAGAAGUUCACACAAAAGCAGCUUUUUCUUUCACUGCUCUGGGCAAGUUUACCCUUCAAGGACAACACCUGAGAAGGGGAGAGCUGCUUCUCCCCUUUCUUCCCUCCACCUGCCAGCUGUUUCCAUGAAGCCCAAUUAGCAACAUCUUCUCUUUGGAAUGUAAACAUCUCAGUGAAGCUCCAGCCGAAGGCAAGAGGCCUCCUUAAAAGAAUGUUUUUUUUAUCAUACUCUGUAUUUGCAGACACACUUCCCUUGAAAACUUUUACAAAAAGUAACAAUAUUUAUAGUUAAAUAUUGUAAUAUAUAGUUAUAUAUUAUAACUAUAUAUGUAUAUAUAUACAUAUAUAGUUACAAUAUAUAACUAUAUAUAGAGCUGUACAUGUACAGAAUGUGUAUGUGUGUAUAUAUGUAUGUAUGUACAUAUAUAUGUAUGUGUAUGUGUGUGUAUAUAUAUAUAUAUAUAUAUAUAUAUAUAUAUUCCAUAAAUGUUUGUGAAAAAUUAGUAAAAGAUGUUCAGCACCUGGAGUGCUGAUCUCUUUGAGGCCCCUGGCCAAAUUUAAUUGUAAGAUAGAGCAACAGGAAAUAGGAAGCUUAAGUACAUUGAACUCUUUUGUAGAGAUUCUUUUGCUGAUAGUCCUAAGAUCAAUUAUGGUGAAGAUUUCUGGAGAAGCUUAAUUAAGAUUUUCUGUGGAGGAGGGGAUGCCACUACAUAAACUGAUUGGGAAUCAAAACCAUUCUGAAGAGGAAGUGCAUAUGACACAUCACAGUGCACCAUAAGUCACAUCUACUAACUUUUUCCUUGUCUACUCUUUUGGGGUUUUGUCAUGUGGUUGUGGUUAUAUUAAUGGAAGGAAACAAUGGAUCAUCCUAAAUUAACCUUUUUUUUUUUAAUAUUUAUUUAUUUAUUUUUCGGCGGACACAACAUCUUUGUUUGUAUGUGGUGCUGAGGAUCGAACCCGGGCCGCACGCAUGCCAGGCGAGCGCGCUACCACUUGAGCCACAUCCCUAGCCCCAACCUUUUUUUUUUUUUUUUUUUGGUACUGGGGGUUGAACACAAGGAUGCUUUACCACUGAGGUACAUUUUUAGUUUGAGACAGGAUCUCACUAAGUUAUGGAGGGUCUUGCUGAGUUGCUGAGGCUGGCCUUGAACUUGCAAUCCUCCUACCUCAGCCUCCUAAAUGCUGAGAUUACAAGAGUGCACCACCACACCCGCUUAUAUUAACUCAUUUUAAUACAGUACGAUUUAGAUGAAUAACACUGAAAUAAUUUUUAAUGACUUUUUAAAAAAUCUCUUGAGGGCUGGGGAGGUAGCUCAGUAGUAGAGCAUUUGCCUAACACACAUGAUGCCCUGGAUUUGAUCCCCAGCUCAAAAAAGUGUGAAUCUUGCCUAAUGUCUUCUCUGAUAAGGGGGGUGACUCAAAUUGGUGUUGGGAGGGAGAGCAAGGGAGGAAGAUUACCUCUAAAUAGGGAAUAGGGGUGGGAGGGAAAGGGAGGGAGAAGGGGAAUAGCAUGGAUGGUGAAAGGAGACCCUCAUCAUUAUACAAAAUACAUGUAUAAAGAUGUGAAUUCGGUGUCAACAUACCUUAUAUAUAAUCACAGAUAUGAUAAAUUAUUGUAUAAUGGUGUAUUAAGAAUCGUAAUGCAAAAAUAAAUAAAUAAAUAAAUAAAUAAAUA
rnacentral:lncRNA from 1 species